ACCAAAAGUGGCUGAGAAAAAAGAGCAUUGAAUUUAAAAUUCAAAAACAGACAUUUUUGUCUCUUUGGUA
rnacentral:tRNA from 1 species